rnacentral:rRNA from 1 species
UCCGGUGGCGUUACCGAAGGGGAAACACCCGUUCCCAUUCCGAACACGGAAGUUAAGCCCUUCAGGGCCAAUGAUACUAUGACCGUGAGGUCAUGGGAAAGUAGGACGCUGCCGGAU